rnacentral:lncRNA from 1 species
GUUUUGCCCCGUUUUAAGCAUUGUAACUCCCGAUCACCGCUACCCUUUUCGAUUGAUCUGAGUCUCAUAACGCAUGUCAGGGCUCUGCCCGACUAAGUUCGUUGGGAUUCUGUCUCGGGACAUCGGGACAAGGUUGAUUUAGGGGUACUAUACUUAACACGAGUGCAUUAUAUAUUUUUAAUAGCCCAAAAGUAUACCCAAAAUUUAUACCAGGAGUCUUUCUAGUUGAACCCUAAAGUUACACAAGGGGUCCAUUCUCUUUUCUCACCAUUUUAUUUCCUUUUUAUGAUUUACCCAAAACUAUUAUUUAUUAUUCUAUUUUGGUAAAAUAACUCUCAUAAAAAGUCAUAUCUAUUAUUUUAUUUACUCAAUAGGAAACCCUAGUUAAGACACCCAAGUAAUUCUGCACAAACCCUAAAAUUUUCAAAACAAUCAAAAUCAGGAUCAGGGCCCCUACAACCUGGGGGGGGGGGGUAAACCCUAGUGGACGAUUAUCUUCAAAUCUCAUUGUCGAAUUCGAAUUUGAAGAAAUCAUCAACUCAGCAGGCCUAGUCCCACACGUGGCAACCCUAUGACAAUUAGGUGUCCCUUACGGACCGUAAGGGAAUAGUCUUACGGUCCGUAAGCAUGUCCAAUUUUUGUGUAUAAAUAGCAGACAUUGGCACUUGAUUUUGGACACUGAAACGACGAAAAAACUCCAAAUAUACGCUGAGAUAUUCUCUGAUUACUAUCAAACACACACUAGCUCGAAUUCUGCUACGAUACAGGGUAUUAACUCGAUCGCUAUUACGAUUCAUUUUCCGACCGAUCAAUAUAUCCAAUGAAUGUUUAAGUGCCGCCCACAUUAGGGUUAUACUUUGUCGUUCGUCGUUAAUUCGAUGGAUGUUUAAGUAUCGCACUUUGUCGUUCAUUGUGAGAAUUUGAUCUCGUGAGUUCAUCGUAAAUGUUGUAUUAGUUAAUUACCUAGUUUCGUGUGCAUUAUUAUUUAAAUUAGGUUAUCAGGCUUAUCCAUAGGAUAAACACUACCCCAUACACUUACAAUCAAAAUAGAUACCAGUUCUCAGAAGAAUCUGAAUCAUGAAGCUUGUUAAUUCAAUACUGCAUGCUUAUAAUCCAGUAUGUGGGGUAUUGUGCACAUUACUACUGUUGUUAUCACUUUAGGUGGGCGAACCUAAAAUUAAGUGAUAUACGUCAUUCAUUGGGGCAGCCAAUGGUGAUAUGACCACAGUCACAGAUCCGGUCGAGUGACAAAUACUGUGGGUAGUUGGUAGAUAUCAGAAACAUAUGUAAUUACAGUAGAUUGGAGUAAGGAUUGGAUCCGGCACUAAAAGACUUCAAGAAGUGGCUUAUUUUAUUAAUUAAAUCAAAUUAAGAAAUAUUGUUUUUAUUAAAAGCUACCUUUGUAACAAUGGAAUUUAUUCCAUCUAUUUAAAUAAAAUCCGGUGUUUCUAAACUCUUAUAUUUUUCCUAACUCACGGUCCUGAUAAAAUUUCCGCUGCAAUAUUUUUCAAAAUAACUCACCGGUACCACUGGACUGCUCGCGGCUCCCGAUUCCGUCCAGGAUGGGGUCAGGGGUCGUGACAGAAGCAAAUAAGCUAAGUCUUCUAGAAAAUGUACGCCCACUAAGUACUCGACUCUACAUGGUCCUCCUGUUCCAACCGUGCCAUAAUUUCUGAAAUGCAACCUGAGAAAGAAAUAUGCGAAAAAUCAACAUAAAGUUGAGUGAGUUCAUAGUUCGUUUGUAAAAGAUUUGAAAUAAAUCUUUUUGAAUAACCGGUUUUUGUUGUAUUAUUGAGAAAACGAAUUUAAAAUCAUUUUCUUGUCAAGUUAUAUGGAAACUUGGUAUGAAAACAUGGUAUGUAUCUUGUAUAAAUCAUGUAUUCUUAUAUAAAUCAUAUAUUUCUGUA